AUAUGGUGUAAAUAUCUCCCUCUACCUUUAGCCGCUUCUUCUCAUUACGAUCUCGAAAGCAUUUAGCAGAAGCAUCAUCAUUCUUCUUUGAUCAACCUUGAGCAGGGGCCAUCCUUGUUCUUUCUUAUUGAGAAAGUAGUAACCACUUGUCACCGUUUGUCUUCGGAGCCGUCUUUCACCACCGGAUUCGUGAGCCGUUGUCGUCGUUUGUUGGUGAAGAAGAAGAAGGGUGAAAACUGUUGAAGUAGGAGUUUAAAGGAGUGAUUUCCCGUCAGAUCUUAAGGAAUCAGAUCGUUAUUUUAGUGUCUUUGGAUACAUCUCACUUCAAGGAAUCCACAGCAACAAACGGCUCUCUGUUACGAGAUUCAACUUGGCCUUUUGGAGAACAGAUUUCGGUCAGAUCUGAUUAUCAAAGGACAAGCCGAUGGUGUAUACAAAUAGAGGAAAUGUUGGAGAAGCCAUGGGACCCUUCGUCGUCACUAGGAAAGAUAUACCCUACCUGCCACGUUGAUUCCUUGUUGGACAAGAAUCACCUGUUUUGUCAAAACUGUAGAAACCCUAAUUUAUCUUUGUGCUGUUUUCUUGUGCUGCAAGUUUCAGAUAUUGUCAAGGAGUUUCAACCUCUUUAUAUCAUCCCAAAUUCAGGUGAUGUUGUGAUC